rnacentral:lncRNA from 1 species
GUAAGUUCGACCAACAUAAUGAUGUAAUUAAAAUAAUACACUUGCUUAACUUCAAUACAUGAACUCAUUUAGAACACAUAUGAUUAAGUUGUUCAAAAAAAAACACAUAUGAUUAAACAACAAGGAUUUAUUUAUCUUCCUUGCAAAAAAACUUACAAAGAUACCCCAAAAAAUGAAGUCAACAAUUGUAAUUUCGACGAAUUUUGUUCGCUCAAGGAAGAGGAGGAACAUUUGAAAUGCCUUGACGUU